rnacentral:rRNA from 1 species
UACGUAGGGCGCAAGCGUUAUCCGGAAUUAUUGGGCGUAAAGAGCUCGUAGGCGGCUUGUCGCGUCGACUGUGAAAUCCCGCGGCUCAACUGCGGGUCUGCAGUCGAUACGGGCAGGCUAGAGUUCGGUAGGGGAGACUGGAAUUCCUGGUGUAGCGGUGAAAUGCGCAGAUAUCAGGAGGAACACCGGUGGCGAAGGCGGGUCUCUGGGCCGAUACUGACGCUGAGGAGCGAAAGCGUGGGGAGCGAACAGG